UACGUAGGGUGCAAGCGUUGUCCGGAAUUAUUGGGCGUAAAGAGCUCGUAGGCGGUUUGUCGCGUCUGCUGUGAAAACCCGAGGCUCAACCUCGGGCCUGCAGUGGGUACGGGCAGACUAGAGUGCGGUAGGGGAGACUGGAAUUCCUGGUGUAGCGGUGAAAUGCGCAGAUAUCAGGAGGAACACCGAUGGCGAAGGCAGGUCUCUGGGCCACUACUGACGCUGAGAAGCGAAAGCGUGGGGAGCGAACAGG
rnacentral:rRNA from 1 species